GAGCAGAGCGGCGAACGAGGGCGUCGGCCAUUUUGUGUCUGUUUCCUGUGGGACGCGGUGGUGGCCGUUGGGUCGGAAGAGUGAGCGAUUUUUGCCUCGUUUUUCCUGUUAGUUUUCUCCCUCUUUCACUUUGUCGGUAGAGCGCAGUUAUGGGUCGCAAGAAGAAGAAGCAGCUGAAGCCGUGGUGCUGGUAUUGUAAUAGAGAUUUUGAUGAUGAGAAGAUCCUUAUACAGCACCAAAAAGCAAAACAUUUUAAAUGCCAUAUAUGUCAUAAGAAAUUGUACACAGGACCUGGCUUAGCUAUUCAUUGCAUGCAGGUGCAUAAAGAGACAAUAGACGCUGUACCAAAUGCAAUACCUGGGAGAACAGACAUAGAAUUGGAAAUAUAUGGUAUGGAAGGUAUUCCAGAAAAAGACAUGGAUGAAAGAAGACGACUUCUUGAACAGAAAACGCAAGCAGAGAGUCAAAAAAAGAAGCAACAAGAUGAUUCUGAUGAAUAUGAUGAUGAUGACUCUGCAGCUUCAACUUCAUUUCAGCCACAGCCUGUUCAACCUCAGCAAGGUUAUAUCCCCCCAAUGGCACAGCCAGGACUGCCACCAGUCCCGGGAGCACCAGGAAUGCCUCCAGGCAUACCUCCAUUAAUGCCGGGUGUUCCUCCUCUGAUGCCAGGAAUGCCACCAGUUAUGCCAGGCAUGCCACCUGGAUUGCAUCAUCAGAGAAAAUACACCCAGUCAUUUUGCGGUGAAAACAUAAUGAUGCCAAUGGGUGGAAUGAUGCCACCUGGACCAGGAAUACCACCUCUGAUGCCUGGUAUGCCACCAGGUAUGCCCCCUCCCGUUCCCCGUCCAGGAAUUCCUCCAAUGACUCAAGCACAGGCUGUUUCAGCGCCAGGCAUUCUUAAUAGACCACCUGCACCGACAGCAACAGUUCCUGCUCCACAGCCUCCAGUUACUAAGCCUCUUUUCCCCAGUGCUGGACAGAUGGGGACACCUGUAACAAGCUCAAGUACAGCUUCAUCCAAUUCAGAAAGUCUGUCUGCAUCUUCUAAAGCUCUGUUUCCUAGCACAGCACAAGCUCAGGCAGCUGUCCAAGGACCUGUUGGUACAGAUUUCAAGCCUUUAAAUAGUACCCCUGCAACAACUACAGAACCCCCAAAGCCUACAUUCCCUGCUUAUACACAGUCUACAGCUUCAACCACUAGUACAACAAAUAGCACUGCGGCUAAACCAGCAGCUUCAAUAACAAGUAAGCCUGCUACACUUACAACAACCAGUGCAACCAGUAAGUUGAUCCAUCCAGAUGAGGAUAUAUCACUGGAAGAGAGAAGGGCACAGUUACCUAAAUACCAACGUAAUCUUCCUCGACCAGGACAGGCUCCCAUUGGUAAUCCACCAGUUGGACCUAUUGGAGGUAUGAUGCCACCACAGCCAGGCAUCCCACAGCAACAAGGAAUGAGACCCCCAAUGCCGCCUCAUGGUCAGUAUGGUGGUCAUCAUCAAGGCAUGCCAGGUUACCUUCCUGGUGCUAUGCCACCGUAUGGGCAGGGACCGCCAAUGGUACCCCCUUACCAAGGUGGGCCUCCUCGACCUCCGAUGGGAAUGAGACCUCCUGUAAUGUCGCAAGGUGGCCGUUACUGAUCUUACUUCAUCCAAUCUAAUAGGUUUGGAGAUUAAACCUUUUCUCAACUUGUGCUGUUUAUAUAGCCAAGCUUCCGUCAAUAAGGCUUCAUUGUGACUUUAACAAACAUUAUCUUCCCACAUACCAGGAACUAUUGGACAUUUAUUUUACAUGGGAAAAAUUAUUUGGAAUAAUAAAGCAGGAACUUUUCCUGAAGUUGCAAUUUAUACUGUAUGGCUUCUUUUUCAUGUUUCAUCUAGGUUUUUAGAAGUGAAGUAUAGUAAAUUUGGUUCGUUAUAUUGUGAAGGCGCUGGAAUUACAUGAACAUACCACCUUAAUAAAGCCCUGCCAUAGGACAGGCUGAGGCUGAGUCUCAGUGUUGCCCUGUUCAGUCUGAGCAGCAGAAUUUCAGCAUUUGCUACUUACUGGUAGAGAAGAAAAAUCCCACAGCCCUGCCAGUACAGGUUAGUUUAAUCUGUAAGUACCUGAUGUUCCUAUUUUUUUCAAACAUAUCCAUAUAACCCACACAAGGAAGAAAGCUGUGCAGUUACUUAAAUGUGAGUAUAACUAAUAAUAGAUCCAUUGGACACUUUUAAACACUCAGUUCUUGGGCCAAAGUAGCUCUAGGUUUGCUAAUAACCUCAGUUGUAAGAGAGGUGUAUUACUGCUCCUUUAUGUCUGGUUGUGGUUGACCCUAAAUAAAUACAUUGUACAUAAAAGGAAAAGACGGUGAAAGUUUCAAUUGGCUAUACACACGUGUUGGCAUGUGAUCUGGAGUGCAGGGCUUUGGGUCCAGGCUCUACUGAAGCCACUCUCAUGGUGGUUACUCAUACUUACCUUUUAACUUUUUACAGUAUGAAUCAACCUAAGAAAAAAGUCAAGUUUCCUUACCUCUAGCAGUGAUAAAUGGUGUGCAGUCAUAAGCUAGAAAAUGUUUUCAUACUGUGUAUUUUGUUAAAUGUUUGUAGUAGCUCUUGCUGUAAAUAAGUACUAAUUUUGUUCAUCUUUUUUUGUAAACUAUAACCUAUUCUGUUGUUGCACCACCACUGUGGGCUCAUUUUACUUUGAAUUAAGAAUAACAAAACUUUUUAAUAUUCAAAUGAAAACUGACUACCCAUCAAGAAACCUAGACAAAUUCCUUGUAUGUUCCUUUUGAGGGGCAGUAAGGUCAUAAUGGCUUGUAAAAAACAUGUUAAGGUUUUUAUUACUGUCAUUGGUUCUAUCAGAAUUCAUUGUUGUCUUGAACCAUCUUUGAGAGUUUCCUUUAACCUUUAAAUAUUAUGCUUUUGUGUUGCUAAAAAUUUUUAAUGCAAAGGUAAAAAGAAUAAAGCAUACAAUUUGGUUUGCACAAACCUGAACCAUCCUUCAACUCUGUAGCAUUGACUAGGAUGCAUGGCUACCUCCUUUACACCCUAAGUGUAAUGAUGUCUAAUUUGAGAACAUCUAUCCAUAAAACUAGUUGAUCUUUUAUUCCUAUUAAUUGGGGGUGGUGAUUAGCCACUGAAAACAGACCAUCUUAGUGUUAUUUUGUUUGAAAGUCAUGCAUUUAGUUAAUUAAAAAUCUCAAUAUAUCAACUGAUAAUAAAAUUUUAAGAUAUCCACUUGUUUUUUUAAUAUAAAAUUGCCUAAGGGCUUAAGUUUCAUUGCCUUUCACAGUUUAAUCUGUAUAAGAAAUGGCGUAGAUACAGUGGAAAUGGUUUUCCUUAAAACCAUCUCUAUAAAGCUGCCUUUCUGGUGAGUACUAUUUUAUACUUAUAUGUCACAAUUUUUCCUUUUAAGUUUAACUGAAAUGGGAUACUGAUCAAAGAAGUGAGCAGUCUGAAUUUGUACACUCUUUAGAUAAUAUCUGAAUCAGAAAUGUAUUUUAUUUAAAAGUUGAAUAUUUUACUUCCUGACAUUUCCCUAAUAAACCAGGAUCACUUUCUGACUUUGACUUAACAGACUAACUGGAAAACCUAUUAACAUGUAAAUUGUUUCCUUUUAGUGAGAUGGAAAAAAAUGUUUUUAUUCAGAAUUAUCUAGUAUUUUUACAAAUAUUAAGAUUUUCCUUUUAGCUAACAACCGAAAGUGUUUUCUCAAUGCUUUCACUUCCCACACUGCAUAGGUAUAAAAGUUAAAUAGCAGAAUUUGUCUGUUCUCCGUGAAGCUGUUGUUGCAGUGAUUCAUGAGCUAUUAAAGCCAAGGGUAGGGUUGAAGAAGGACUUGCCUGAAAUGUUCCUGCAGACUAAUGCUUUACAGGAUUCCCUUUGAAUGAGCUUAAAAAUUUCAAGUGUAUUUUUAAAUCUCUCUAACCUUGCAUGGAAAAUGUGGAUUAGAAAUGCUGGUUUCUGAGACUGUAUGCCAGCAGAAAUUAGCCUCUGGGUAUAUUUCUAAUUACUUUAUGCCCUGUUCAGUACUUUCCUUCAGUGUAACACAUGGAUUUUUUCCUCUCUAGUCUUAAACCACAUCCUAGAUGAUGUCAAUAUAAGCUAAGGAUGUUUUCACAUUGUAUUUCCUGCUGUUAUCUUUGUAAACCAACAAUGAACAGUAAGCUCCUAAUACUUUUUAGUAUGGAAAAUGAUAGUCUUCUCUAAAAUAAAUCUGAAAAUUGAUGUCUUGAGUAUGUGAUAAUGGUGAUGUAUUCUUCUAGAUAAGCACUAAACAAAGUAUGGACCCUCAAUUUAUGUCUUUAAGAUUUAAAGUGAAGUAAAUUUCUAAGGAAUUCUGUCCUUUCCUAGCAAGGAUAAGCAGACAUUGAAAAUGUGGUAAGUAUGUAACUGUGAAUGCAUGUAAUAGUGGUGAGAGUAAGUAGCCAAAUUUCCAUAGCAUAAAAUAACUUAGACAUAAACAAGAUUUCUUGAAUUUCCUUUGCGACUUAAUGUAUGUGUGUCUAGCAUUUUUACAAAUUUGUGUGCACAAUGAUUAAAUUGGAAAGUACCUUA